rnacentral:rRNA from 1 species
UACGGGGGGGGCAAGCGUUGUUCGGAAUUACUGGGCGUAAAGGGCUCGUAGGCGGCCAACUAAGUCAGACGUGAAAUCCCUCGGCUUAACCGGGGAACUGCGUCUGAUACUGGAUGGCCAGAGUUUGGGAGAGGGAUGCGGAAUUCCAGGUGUAGCGGUGAAAUGCGUAGAUAUCUGGAGGAACACCGGUGGCGAAGGCGGCAUCCUGGACCAACACUGACGCUGAGGAGCGAAAGCCAGGGGAGCAAACGGG